GAAGACAAAUUCAGUGUGUGUGUGUGUAAAAAUAUAUUUUAUAUAUUUUAUACUGUCAAUAAAGCUGAUUCUUCUUCUUCUCCGGCAAGGUUUUGUCAUGGAGGGAGGGUUACUGUAAGACGCAGUGCCUGGCAGGCUCCUCUGUUACCACCCUGCAGAGAGUUUCCAUCACACCUGUGGAGCUCAAUGAGUUUCCUGAUCUGUCCUUUGUACCACCCUGCUACCUGGACCUCAAGCAGACUUUUUCCCAGGUACCUCGCCUCCUCGUGGGCGUACUCUCUGUCGGGACCUGAACGUCUGGCCAUGGAGGACUACAUUGGAGCUUCCCUCAGGGCUGGGAUCAUCAGGUCUUCUUCCUCACCUGCUAGAGCUUCUUUGUGGGGAAGAAGGACAAGACUCUUCGAACCUGCAUCGACUAUCGGGGCCUUAACAAGAUCAUGCUUUUCUUGCAUGAAGCUAUGGCGCGCAUUGAAAUUCCACAUGUUGGCACGUCUCCAUUCAAGCGGCACUCAGACAUUGUUCAGGUGGAGGUGAAUAUGGCUUUUCCCAGGAUGAGGAUGCUCAUGAAGAAGACCAUGAUGAAGAAGAGCCACAUGAAGAAGCGAUCCAUGACCUUGGCGACCUUCCUCCACUCCCCGAUGCGCAGCUGGGCGGCUCGCUGCUCCUGGCUCUGUUUGACUCCACUUUAUGUCCUCCAGCAGCUCCUUCCUCCUCGGAGUGGUUGAUGGUCACGAACAGAUCCUCCGUCCAGUCCGAAUCGCGGCCCAGCUUCAGAGACUCCCCAUCCUCCUCCGCUCUCCCUCCCCA